CUACGGGUGGCACCAGUGAGGAAUAUUGCACAAUGGGGGGAACCCUGAUGCAGCAACGCCGCGUGGAGGAUGACGCAUUUCGGUGUGUAAACUCCUUUUAUAUGUCAAGAAAAUGACGGUAGCAUAUGAAUAAGCACCGGCUAACUCCGUGCCAGCAGCCGCGGUAAUACGGAGGGUGCAAGCGUUACUCGGAAUCACUGGGCGUAAAGGACGCGUAGGCGGGUUGGAAAGUCAGGUGUGAAAUCCUACAGCUUAACUGUAGAACUGCACUUGAAACUUCUAAUCUAGAGUAUGGGAGGGGGAGAUGGAAUUAGUGGUGUAGGGGUAAAAUCCGUAGAUAUCACUAAGAAUACCUAAAGCGAAGGCGAUCUCCUGGAACAUUACUGACGCUAAGGCGUGAAAGCGUGGGGAGCAAACAGGGUUAGAUACCCCAGUAGUC
rnacentral:rRNA from 1 species